rnacentral:ncRNA from 1 species
AGGCUUGGUCCUGACUUUACUAUCAACUUUAGCUAAACUUACACAUGCAAGUAUCCGCACCCCUGUGAGAAUGCCCUACAGUUCCCCGCCCGGGAACGAGGAGCCGGUAUCAGGCACACACAACCAGCCCAUGACACCUUGCUUAGCCACACCCUCAAGGGAACUCAGCAGUGAUAGACAUUAAGCCAUAAGUGAAAACUUGACUUAGUCAAAGCUAACAGGGCCGGUAAAACUCGUGCCAGCCACCGCGGUUAUACGAGAGGCCCAAGUUGACAGUCACCGGCGUAAAGAGUGGUUAAAGAAUGAUUAAAACUAAAGCCGAACACCUUCAAGGCAGUUAUACGCACCCGAAGGUUAGAAGCCCAACUACGAAAGUGGCUUUAUCUUUCCUGAACCCACGAGAGCUACGGCACAAACUGGGAUUAGAUACCCCACUAUGCCUAGCCCUAAACAUUGAUAGUACUCUACACCCACUAUCCGCCCGGGAACUACGAGCAUCAGCUUGAAACCCAAAGGACUUGGCGGUGCUUUAGAUCCACCUAGAGGAGCCUGUUCUAGAACCGAUAACCCCCGUUCAACCUCACCUUUUCUUGUUUUCCCCGCCUAUAUACCGCCGUCGUCAGCUUACCCUGUGAAGGACUCAUAGUAAGCAAAAUUGGCACAGCCCAAAACGUCAGGUCGAGGUGUAGCGUAUGGAAAGGGAAGAAAUGGGCUACAUUCCCUAUAAUUAGUGAAUACGGACGAUGUCCUGAAAGAGACAUCUGAAGGAGGAUUUAGCAGUAAGCAGGAAAUAGAGCGUUCCGCUGAAAUUGGCCCUGAAGCGCGCACACACCGCCCGUCACUCUCCCCAAGCUCACAAAUUAAUUAAUUAAAACCCUAAGGUCGCAAAGGGGAGGCAAGUCGUAACAUGGUAAGUGUACCGGAAGGUGCACUUGGAAAAAUCAGAGCGUAGCUAAGACAGAAAAGCAUCUCCCUUACACUGAGAAGUCGCCCGUGCAAAUCGGACCGCCCUGAUGCUUAACAGCUAGCCCACCCAACCAACAACAACAACCCCCUAUAAAUACCCCCAAAUAAACAAGUAUUAACCAAACAAACCAUUUUCCCCCUAAGUAUGGGCGACAGAAAAGGA